AGGUGGAAUGUGAGCCUGGUGCCAGUGAGAGCCACCUUUUCCACUCCACAGAGAAGAGGACACCAUCAUACAGAAAAACAGAGGAACAAUAUGAAGAAGAAACUGAGGCUCAGAGAGAGGCAGUAACUUGCUCAAGGUGACUUAGCUCAUAAGUGAUACAUCAAGGACCCAAUUUCCAGACGGAGACAUAAAGAGAGACAGAGAUGAGAGAGAAAAGCAGCUGGAAACCUAGAAGAGAGAGAAGGAAACCUAGAGGCAGAGAGAAAAGACAAAGCAUGACGGUGCUGACCCUCAAUGGAGACUUGGAGAAGGUGAUCCAGUAUUCUUUAAGUCCAUUGUCAGCGUUUCUACCCUCCCCUCUCCCCCCAACUUCGGAGCCGCCUCCGACUGACACCGCCAGCCAUCCAGGCAUCACAGCUGGGCCUUUGUCAAA